rnacentral:misc_RNA from 1 species
UCUCCGUUGGUGAACCAGCGGAGGGAUCAUUACCGAGUGUUACAGCUCCCAAACCCUUUGUGAACAUACCAGUCGUUGCUUCGGCGGGACCGCCCCGGCGCCUCUGCGCGCCGGACCCAGGCGCCCGCCGGGGGCCCGAAGCUCUUGCCUUUUCGCGCGGACUUUUCUGAGUGGCACGUGGGAAAAAUGAAUCAAAACUUUCAACAACGGAUCUCUUGGUUCUG